GGGAAUUAAGUAGGUAAAAUGCUUGCCUUGCAAGCAUGAAGACUUGAGUUCCAUCCUCAGGACCCA
rnacentral:tRNA from 1 species